CCUACGGGAGGCAGCAGUGAGGAAUAUUGGUCAAUGGGCGUAAGCCUGAACCAGCCAAGUCGCGUGAGGGAUGAAGGUUCUAUGGAUCGUAAACCUCUUUUAUAAGGGAAUAAAAUGCGGGACGUGUCCCUUUUUGUAUGUACCUUAUGAAUAAGGAUCGGCUAACUCCGUGCCAGCAGCCGCGGUAAUACGGCGUAGCCGAGCGUUAUCCGGAUUUAUUGGGUUUAAAGGGUGCGUAGGCGGCCUUUUAAGUCAGCGGUGAAAGUUUGUGGCUCAACCAUAGAAUUGCCGUUGAAACUGGGAGGCGUGAGUACGUUUGAGGGAGGCGGAAUGCGUGGUGUAGCGGUGAGAUGCUGAGAUAUCACGAAGAACCCCGAUUGCGAAGGCAGCCUGCUAAGCCGUGACUGACGCUGAUGCACGAAAGCGUGGGGAUCAAACAGGAUUAGAUACCCCUGUAGUC
rnacentral:rRNA from 1 species